GAUGAACGCUGGCGGCGUGCCUAAUACAUGCAAGUCGAGCGAACGGACGAGAAGCUUGCUUCUCUGAUGUUAGCGGCGGACGGGUGAGUAACACGUGGAUAACCUACCUAUAAGACUGGGAUAACUUCGGGAAACCGGAGCUAAUACCGGAUAAUAUUUUGAACCGCAUGGUUCAAAAGUGAAAGACGGUCUUGCUGUCACUUAUAGAUGGAUCCGCGCUGCAUUAGCUAGUUGGUAAGGUAACGGCUUACCAAGGCAACGAUGCAUAGCCGACCUGAGAGGGUGAGCGGCCACACUGGAACUGAGACACGGUCCAGACUCCGACGGGAGGCAGCAGUAGGGAAGCUUCCGCAAUGGGCGAAAGCCUGACGGAGCAACGCCGCGUGAGUGAUGAAGGUCUUCGGAUCGUAAAACUCUGUGAUUAGGGAAGAACAUAUGUGUAAGUAACUGUGCACAUCUUGACGGUACCUAAUCAGAAAGCCACGGCUAACUACGUG
rnacentral:rRNA from 1 species